GACGAACGCUGGCGGCGUGCCUAAUACAUGCAAGUCGAGCGCAGGAAACUGACGGAACUCUUCGGAGGGAAGGCAGUGGAAUGAGCGGCGGACGGGUGAGUAACACGUAAGGAACCUGCCUCAAGGAUUGGGAUAACUCCGAGAAAUCGGAGCUAAUACCGGAUAGUUCAACGGACCGCAUGGUCCGCUGAUGAAAGGCGCUCCGGCGUCACCUUGAGAUGGCCUUGCGGUGCAUUAGCUAGUUGGUGGGGUAGCGGCCCACCAAGGCGACGAUGCAUAGCCGACCUGAGAGGGUGAUCGGCCACACUGGGACUGAGACACGGCCCAGACUCCUACGGGAGGCAGCAGUAGGGAAUCUUCCACAAUGGACGAAAGUCUGAUGGAGCAACGCCGCGUGAGUGAUGAAGGUUUUCGGAUCGUAAAACUCUGUUGUAAGGGAAGAACACGUACGAGAGGGAAUGCUCGUACCUUGACGGUACCUUACGAGAAAGCCACGGCUAACUACGUGCCAGCCGCCGCCGUAAGAC
rnacentral:rRNA from 1 species